ACAGCAGCAGCCGCGGUAAUACGAAGGGUGCAAGCGUUAAUCGGAAUUACUGGGCGUAAAGCGUGCGUAGGCGGUGAGUUAAGUCUGCUGUGAAAUCCCCGGGCUCAACCUGGGAACUGCAUUUGUGACUGGCAAGCUAGAGUGUGGCAGAGGGGGGUGGAAUUCCGCGUGUAGCAGUGAAAUGCGUAGAUAUGCGGAGGAACACCGAUGGCGAAGGCAGCCCCCUGGGCCAACACUGACGCUCAUGCACGAAAGCGUGGGGAGCAAACGGGAUUAGAUACCCCAGUAGUCCCUGUCUCUUAUAC
rnacentral:rRNA from 1 species